GAUAAAAAGAGACCGAACACGAUUCCUGUAUUCGGUCCAGGGAAAUGGCUCUUGGGAGAGAGCCGUGCGCUAAAAGUUGGCAUUAAUGCAGGCUAAGUCGCCUUGCCUUAUAAGCGUAGUUUACCGCGUCAGGUUUUCCAGU
rnacentral:sRNA from 1 species